CCCUCGGUAGCUCAGUUGGAAGAGCGUGGGACUGUAAUUGGCAAUGCAUGCUUACAUAAUCAUCCCGAGGCCACUGGUUCGAUCCCGGUCUGAGGGA